rnacentral:rRNA from 1 species
GUAGGUGGCAAGCGUUGUCCGGAAUUAUUGGGCGUAAAGCGCGUGCAGGCGGUUCUUUAAGUCUGAUGUGAAAGCCCACGGGCUCAACCGUGGAGGGUCAUUGGAAACUGGAGAACUUGAGUACAGAAGAGGAAAGCGGAAUUCCACGUGUAGCGGUGAAAUGCGUAGAGAUGUGGAGGAACACCAGUGGCGAAGGCGGCUUUCUGGUCUGUAACUGACGCUGAGGCGCGAAAGCGUGGGGAGCAAACAGGAUUAGAUACCCUGGUAGUCCACGCCGUAAACGAUGAGUGCUAAGUGUUAGGGGGUUUCCGCCCCUUAGUGCUGCAGCUAACGCAUUAAGCACUCCGCCCGGGGAGUACGGCCGCAAAGGCUG